rnacentral:rRNA from 1 species
GACGAACGCUGGCGGUGUGCUUAACACAUGCAAGUCGAACGGUAAGGCCCUUUCGGGGGUACACGAGUGGCGAACGGGUGAGUAACACGGGAGUAACCUGCCCUCAUCUCUGGGAUAACAGUCGGAAACGGUUGCUAAUACUGGAUAUGAGCUUGCAAGGCAUCUUGUGGGUUGGAAAGAUUUUUUUUGGUUGGGGAUGGACUCGCGGCCUAUCAGCUUGUUGGUGAGGUAGUGGCUCACCAAGGCUUCGACGGGUAGCCGGCCUGAGAGGGCGACCGGCCACAUUGGGACUGAGAUACGGCCCAAACUCCUACGGGAGGCAGCAGUGGGGAAUAUUGCACAAUGGACGGAAGUCUGAUGCAGCAACGCCGCGUGCGGGAUGACGGCCUUCGGGUUGUAAACCGCUUUCAAUUGUGACGAAGCUUUUUUGUGACGGUAGCAGUAGAAGAAGCACCGGCUAACUACGUG